AAUAGAUACCCAGGUAGUCCACGCCGUAAACGGUGGGCACUAGAUGUGGGGCUCUUUCCAUGAGUUCCGCGUCGCAGCUAACGCAUUAAGUGCCCCGCCUGGGGAGUACGGCCGCAAGGCUAAAACUCAAAGGAAUUGACGGGGGCCCGCACAAGCGGCGGAGCAUGCGGAUUAAUUCGAUGCAACGCGAAGAACCUUACCAAGGCUUGACAUAUACGGUCUAUCCCUAGAGAUAGGGAGUGCUUCGGCGCCGUGUACAGGUGGUGCAUGGUUGUCGUCAGCUCGUGUCGUGAGAUGUUGGGUUAAGUCCCGCAACGAGCGCAACCCUCGUUCUAUGUUGCCAGCACGUAAUGGCGGGGACUCAUAGGAGACUGCCGGGGUCAACUCGGAGGAAGGUGGGGAUGACGUCAAAUCAUCAUGCCCCUUAUGUCUUGGGCUUCACGCAUGCUACAAUGGCCGGUCAAAGGGCUGCAAUACCGUAAGGUGGAGCGAAUCCCAAAAAGCCGGUCUCAGUUCGGAUUGAGGU
rnacentral:rRNA from 1 species